rnacentral:rRNA from 1 species
UCCUACGGGGGGCAGCAGUGAGGAAUAUUGGUCAAUGGCCGCAGGGCUGAACCAGCCAAGCCGCGUGAGGGAAGACGGCCCUAUGGGUUGUAAACCUCUUUUGUCGGAGAACAAAACCCGGGACGCGUCCCGGACUGCGUGUAUCCGAAGAAAAAGCAUCGGCUAACUCCGUGCCAGCAGCCGCGGUAAUACGGAGGAUGCGAGCGUUAUCCGGAUUUAUUGGGUUUAAAGGGUGCGUAGGCGGUCCGUUAAGUCAGCGGUAAAAUUGCGGGGCUCAACCCCGUCGAGCCGUUGAAACUGGCAGG